GAAUCCGAUCGUUGGUCGGACAGAAAUAACAUCAGAUGAAACUGGAACUGAUGAUCUGAACAAAAGAUCAUCAGAACCGCAGUGAUUCUGCUGUUGUUCUGACUCUAAUGAGUCCAUUGUGUCUCCAUGACGACGAGCUGUAAACCUGCAGAGCAACAUGAUCGUGUUUGACACGGACAACAUCCUUGAGACAAAAAACGGAUCCACACAAAGAAGCUCCAGGAGUAUUUACCUGAGCAUCAGACGGAGCGUUCCUCUCUCCAGACUCACCUGCAGAGACGCCAGGUGAACCCGCCGCAAAGAUCUGAAGGAGCUGGUUGACCUCUGAGGAACCUGAAAAUGGCGUUUGGUGAGAACGGUGGUCCCACAGGGCUGAGGACCAUCACAGCAGAACCGGGACAGAACCUCAUUCUCCGUGUCAAAGCUCCAAACCAGAAGGAGGUGACGGCUCUGGAGUGGAGGAGGACCAACCUCCAGGAGGGGAACGUUCUGGGUUACCAGGACGACCAGCUGGAGGUGGAACGGCAGCAUCCAUUCUUCAAGAACCGGGUUUUCCUACAGGGAACCCAGAUGAACGACAGAACCUGUCUGUGAUGCUGAUGAACGUGACGGAGGACGACACCUGAACCUACGUGUGCCAGGUCAACCAGGACGGAGAGGAGCCCCGAAAGAUGAUCGCCACCGUUACCUGAAGGUCGCUCCGGCAGGAGUCAAAGACAAAGAAGAAGACCCAUCAGAGAUGGUUUGUUCCAACAGUCACCGUGACGACUGUUGGUCUGGCUCCUUUGUCCUUGUUCCUGAGGAAGUGAUUUUUCCUUUGGAACAGAUGUAAUCAGACGUGAUGUUUCCUCCACGGUUUGAAGCAGAUGAAGGUCUGGUGGACUUCCUGGUUUUAUUCAGAUGUUGUUAAAUAAAGAAGAACCAAAGUAGAUCUACUAAAAGCUGGAAUAAACCAGAAGAAAGAGCAUCUCUGUGUCUUUCUCAGACCCAAACUCCAGAGAACUUUCCU